UCCAGACUCCUACGGGAGGCAGCAGUCGGGAAUAUUGCGCAAUGGAGGAAAUUCUGACGCAGUGACGCCGCGUAUAGGAAGAAGGUUUUCGGAUUGUAAACUAUUGUCCACAGGGAAGAAAAAAGACUGUACCUGUGAAGAAAGCUCCGGCUAACUACGUGCCAGCAGCCGCGGUAAUACGGAGGAUGCGAGCGUUAUCCGGAUUUAUUGGGUUUAAAGGGUGCGUAGGCGGGCUUUUAAGUCAGCGGUAAAAAUUCGGGGCUCAACCCCGUCCGGCCGUUGAAACUGGGGGCCUUGAGUGGGCGAGAAGAAGGCGGAAUGCGUGGUGUAGCGGUGAAAUGCAUAGAUAUCACGCAGAACUCCGAUUGCGAAGGCAGCAUACCGGCGCCCAACUGACGCUGAAGCACGAAAGCGUGGGUAUCGAACAGGAUUAGAUACCCGAGUA
rnacentral:rRNA from 1 species